AGGAUGGAAUUCAGAUCACAUAUCAGUGCCAUACCCCUGUGGGAGUGAAGGACCAGAGAUCAACCAGCGUGGUGCUGCAGGAGGAAGGAAACUUUGACUAAAGCUGAGCUGGAAACCCCCCGUGCUCUUUGGGGGGUAACAAAGCCUCAGUGUUUGCAUACAGUUGUCUCUAUGGGGCCGGUGCUGUGCAAGAGCUGAACCCGGCGGGUUUGUACUCUGAACUCUGUGCGUGUCUGCACAACUUCGCUGGGUCAGUCACUGCAGUGAAACUGGAGCGAGGAAUCCACAGCAC